CCGACACAACGCUGGCCAUGUGCCACAGGGCAGUGAUGUAGACGUGGACGACGAGGAACAAGGAGAAGAUCGCGAUGAGGGAGAAGAUCAUCAGGAGAGGGUUCUGAGUGUCGAUCGCGAGGAUGAAGAUGACCAGGAAGAUGAGGAAGACGGUGUUGUAAGCGAGCAUGAGGAGGGCGACAAAGACGAAGGUGAUGAACAGUCGCUUCAGCACCUUGGGGAUGGCGGAGAAG
rnacentral:lncRNA from 1 species